GACGAACGCUGGCGGCGUGCCUAAUACAUGCAAGUAGGACGCAGUUGCGAACGGGUGAGUAACGCGUAGGUAACUACCUAUUAGAGGGGGAUAACUAUUGGAAACGAUAGCUAAUACCGCAUACUAGUAGAUGGACCUGCGUUGUAUUAGCUAGUAGGUAGGGUAAUGGCCUACCUAGGCAACGAUACAUAGCCGACCCGGGGGGGUGGUCGGCCCCACGUGGACUGGGAAACCGGCCAAACUCCCUCGGGGAGCAGCAAUUGGGAAUCUUCGGCAAUGGGGGGAACCCUGGCCGAGCAACGCCGCGUGAGUGAAGAAGGUUUUCGGAUCGUAAAGCUCUGUUGUUAAGGAAGCGGUACUUAACCAGAAAGGGACGGCUAACUACGUGCCAGCAGCCGCGGUAAUAC
rnacentral:rRNA from 1 species